CCUACGGGAGGCAGCAGUGAGGAAUAUUGGUCAAUGGGCGCGAGCCUGAACCAGCCAAGUAGCGUGAAGGAUGACUGCCCUACGGGUUGUAAACUUCUUUUAUAAAGGAAUAAAGUGAGGCACGUGUGCGUUUUUGUAUGUACUUUAUGAAUAAGGAUCGGCUAACUCCGUGCCAGCAGCCGCGGUAAUACGGAGGAUCCGAGCGUUAUCCGGAUUUAUUGGGUUUAAAGGGAGCGUAGAGGGGUUGUUAAGUCAGUUGUGAAAGUUUGCGGCUCAACCGUAACAUUGCAAUUGAAACUGGCAGCAUUGAGUACAGGUGAGGUGAGCGGAAUUCGUGGUGUAGCGGUGAAAUGCUUAGA
rnacentral:rRNA from 1 species